UAAAUAGCUAGGCUAGCUUUAGCUAGUUGCCGGCUUCUUAGAAAGACUAUUAGCUUAAGCUAAUAGAAGUUUAAGGCAAUAACAGGUCUGUAAUGCCUUUAGAUGUUCUAGGCUGCACGCGCGCUACACUAACAGAGCUAACAAGUUCUUUUCCUUAGCUAAAAGGUCUA
rnacentral:rRNA from 1 species